GAUGAACGCUGGCGGCGUGCCUAAUACAUGCAAGUCGAGCGAACAGACGAGGAGCUUGCUCCUCUGACGUUAGCGGCGGACGGGUGAGUAACACGUGGAUAACCUACCUAUAAGACUGGGAUAACUUCGGGAAACCGGAGCUAAUACCGGAUAAUAUAUUGAACCGCAUGGUUCAAUAGUGAAAGACGGUUUUGCUGUCACUUAUAGAUGGAUCCGCGCCGCAUUAGCUAGUUGGUAAGGUAAUGGCUACCAAGGCGACGAUGCGUAGCCGACCUGAGAGGGUGAUCGGCCACACUGGAACUGAGACACGGUCCAGACUCCUACGGGAGGCAGCAGUAGGGAAUCUUCCGCAAUGGGCGAAAGCCUGACGGAGCAACGCCGCGUGAGUGAUGAAGGUCUUCGGAUCGUAAAACUCUGUUAUUAGGGAAGAACAAAUGUGUAAGUAACUAUGCACGUCUUGACGGUACCUAAUCAGAAAGCCACGGCUAACUACGUG
rnacentral:rRNA from 1 species